GGCUAACGCUGGCGGCGUGUCUUAGCCAUGCAAGUCGAGCGGACUUAUGGGGUAACUUAUAAGUCAGCGGCGGACGGCGGAGUAACACGUAGCUAACCUACCCUCUGGACGGGGAUAACCUACCGAAAGGUGGGCUAAUACCCGAUGUAGUCAUCCUGUAUAGGGGUGAUGAAAGGUGGGCUUCUGUUUACAAGCUCAUGCUGGAGGAGGGGGCUGCGGCCUAUCAGGUAGUUGGUAGGGUAAUAGCUACCAAGCCGAUGACGGGUAGCCGGCCUGAGAGGGUGACCGGCCCGAGGGGCACUGAGAUACGGGUCCCACUCCUACGGGAGGCAGCAGGCUAGAAAUUUGGGCAAUGGGGGAAACCCUGACCCAGUGACGCCGCGUGCAGGAAGGAGCCCUUCGGGGUGUAAACUGCUGUCGUGUAGGGAGAAGGGUACUAAGGUGAACAAUCUUAGUACUUGACGGUACUACAGGAGGAAGCCCAGGCUAACCUCGUG
rnacentral:rRNA from 1 species